GCCCACCAGAGCCCAGCCCAAGGACAGAAGCAGCCGACCCUGCUGUGGAGCUGAUUGGAGAGUCCCAGGUGUGAGUCCGCCCAGGGGACAGCGUCUCCCACACCUGGGUCACUUUCUAGUUCCAGCCCGAGUCAGGUCUCCACAGCCAGUGAAGUGCCUUCAGCCAUUGGCCCUGUGGAGGGCUUGGCAUUUAUCCGGCACCUGCUGUUGGGCAGGAUUAGUGCCCUUUCACAGGGACACGAUCAGCAGUGUGCACCCUGGAGGAGGGCCCUUGCUAGGGCCUGACCAGGCUGGCACCCUGACCUCAGGCUUCCAGAUCCGCAACCAACGUCUGUUUAUAAACCAUCUGGCCUAUUGUUAGGGGAACCCACACUGACACGGGUACCUUGUAGCAACCCAAGGAUCAAACAGACCCCGCUACAGAGGAAUGAGCUAAGACACAGCCGAGUUAGGUAACUUGCUGGAGGUCACACAGCUAGUUAGUACAAGUGCUAGAACUCCAGCCAACUAGCCUGGCCCCAGAGCCCAUGGGGCUGGCCACUGUCCUCUGGUUCUCCUUCACUUCAAGCUUCUCUGGGCGCUGGGUUUAUGAGCCCCUCCAGCCCCGGUUCCACUGUGCUGCCGGUGUCUUUUAAACAAUGUAAUCAGGUCAGGCUCCUUCACAGAGCCUCUGAAGCACUCUCCCAUCCACGGAAUCAAGCUCGGGCCGGAUUUGGCCAGCCACGGGAUUCAUUCCGCCUCCCGCAAGAGCUCAGCUCCACACACACACACACACACACACACACACCCUUGUAGAAAGACCACUUACGGUUUCCAAAAAGCUGUCAGCUGUCUAGGGCAGCAGCACUAUCCAUAGAUAGAAUGCAAGGCACAUAUGGAAUUCAGAAUUUUCUAGAAGCCACAUUAAGAGAGUAAAUUAACUUCAGUAGCAUAUCCGGUAUAUUUACAAUGUUGACAUUUCAACAUGCAUCGAUCUAAAUCCUGGUGGACAUGGUUUUGAUUUUGUUUGAAGUCUCAGCGAUCGGGUGUGUUUUGCACCAUUACAAUUGGCUCAGACUCCCAGGGACUCGCCACUGAGGCUGGGAAGGAAGAGGAGAGACGGACAAGGGGUAGGAAGCACAUCAGCAUCGUCACCGUCAUUGCUGACACCUGCUGCUCCCAGCCCCCUGCCACCGCCGUCAGUUUUACAAGCAUUUCCUUGUCUCAUUCUCAAAAUGAUCCCGGAAAGAUUGUUCUCUUGUUGGGCCGCCUUGGCGAAAAGGAAGAGAUCACAAAAAAAUCCUCAGGAUCAGAGGGCGGAGGCUGGGAAUGGAGGCUCCUUUUCUAUUUCACACACCACCCAGCGUCCAGCAUCAGCUAGAUGGAGCUCCUCUGGGUCCUGGGGUGAGUGAGGGAGACCUUGUCAGGGGCACAGCCUUUUGUCAUCAAGCUGUCAAGUCUCCUGCCUUCCCACCUCCGUGGCUUCCUCCCUCCUUCCCAGAAUUCCCUGGGAAUUCCAAGUUCUUUUGCCUCUGUGAUGCAAGCAGUUGGCCCCCCAUGGUUUGGAUGGAGAUAGAGUGGGCCCAAGUUGGUCCCCGGGGUGAUGAUGUUACAGAUGGUGGGAGCUUUAAGACGUGGGUUCUACUGGGAGGAUUUCAGGUCAUUGCAGGGAGUGCCCUCUGAAGGACCUCAAGUAGCUCUUCUGGAAUCCUGGAACCCCCUGAGAGUGAGUUUUAAAAGAGCCCCUUCCAGCUCUCUGUCAUCCUUGUCUGAAUGUCAGAUCCCCCUCUUUCAUGUGCUUCUGUCACUAUGCAAGUCUCCAUGCUGUGUCACAGCCACAGGGGACAUCACCAGAGCCGGCAUCGUGCCAUUUGGACUUUUGUCCUCCCAAACUGUGAGUUAAAUAAAC
rnacentral:lncRNA from 1 species